rnacentral:lncRNA from 1 species
ACCCACACAGCACCUCAGGAUGCCUGAGAGACCUGCGCUGCUGUACAUCUGAACAUGGAUAGUCUACCCCCGGGGAGGAGGUGGAGAUAGUGACAAUGAAGGGAAAAGGCAAGCUGGAGGAACGACGCGGGAGGAAAGUCACUAGCCCCUCGGAAUAUGGUUUCCACACCUUUAUGGCCCCAAUCUGCUUUAAGACGGAAGAACUUCUGAGGUUCUCUGACAACCGCAGCCAGCCCAAGCCACAUAAGUACAACAUUUAAGAGCUCCUUUUGGCCCCUGUUGUAUCAUGGCGCUCACCCUGGAACUGUCAAGACCCUAACAAUACUGAGAAGUUUCUGGCAAUGGGAAAUUCCUGGGAAUGAGAAGUUAAGUGUGGAACAGUGGGAAAAGCAUGACUUAGCUCUGGAGAGCCUUACUUGAAAUCCCACAUGCACAUCCCAGCUGUGUGGUGAUGGGGUGUCACUGACACUCACUGAGCCCGUGUCCCCGUCUCUGAAGGUCACUGGACAGAUACUUAUUUAGCGCGAGCUCUGUGCCCCUCUGAGCUGUUCUAGGUGCCUGGGAUGCAGUGUGGCCUCAUGGAGUGUUCUGUCGUGAUCUCAGGUUCUGACGGAAGGUUUCCUCGAAGAAUUGCUGUGAGAAUCUGAGCCCGUGGCAGGGAGUUUCUAGAACACCAUAGGAAGGCAUAA